UCCCACUUCCACUUCCCCAUUUACUUCCCCUUCCACUUCCACCUUCAGCUUCCCCUUCGCUUCUACUUUCGCUUUCACUUCCCCCUUCCCUCCCACUUCCACUUCCUCUUUUAUUUCCCCUUCCACCUUCAGCUUUCCCUUCAGUUUCGCUUUCGCUUUCACUUCUCCCUUCCUUUCCCCUUUUCAUUCCCCCUUCCCUCCCCCUUCCCCUUCCCCUCCCACUUCCGCUUCCCCUCCCACUUCCGCUUCCCCUUCCUCUUCCCCCUUCUCCAUUUCCUUCCCCUUACUCACAAUAAUGCCCCGGAUGCAGAGGGGGAUGAUGUUGCAGGUGACCGUUCUGAUGAUGAGGGAUGGCGGAAGGAUACGCAGCACCUCGACUUCCGCUCCAACCUCCGUUUCCUCCGCUAUCUACAGACAGGAAAUAAACAAGGAAACUUCCGCCCUAACCGGAAAUACUUCCGCUAUUCCUCCAAUAAGCUCAGCCAAGGUGGAUAUCCCAGUUCUCAAGGGUUUUUUUAAGGGAUAUCAAUAGGAUUUUGGGGGUAUCAAUGGGAUUUCGGGAUAUCAAUAGGAUUUUGGGGAUAUGAAUGGGGUUUUAGGAUCCUAAUAGGGACCCUAAUAGGAUUUGGGGACACCUAUGGGAUUUGGGAACUCUAACAGGGACAGUAAUAGGAUAUGGAGAACCCCAAUGGGAUACUGGGGGUAUUAAUGGGAUUUUGGAGUAUUAAUGGGAUUUUGGGAUCUUAAUAGGGAUCCUAAUAGGAUAUGGGGACCCUAAUAGAUCCUAAUGGGAUAAGGGGACCCUAAUAGGAUAUGGGAACCCUAAUAGGGACGCGAAUAGGAUAUAGGAGACCCCAAUGGGAUAUUGGGGAUAUCAAUGGGAUUUUGGGAUCCUAAUAGGGAUCCUAACCGGAUAUGGGAACCCUAAUAGGGAUCCUAAUGGGAUAAGUGGACCCUAAUAGGAUAUGGGAACCCUAAUAGGGAUGCUAAUAGGAUAUAGAGAACCCCAUUGGGAUAUUGGGGAUAUUAAUGGGAUAUUGGGAUAUCAAUGGGAUUUUGGGAUCCUAAUAGGGAUCCUAACAGGAUAUGGGGACCUUAAUAGGAUAUGGGGACCCCAAUAGGGACCCUAAUGGGUUAUAGGGUCCCCUAUGGGAUUUGGGGACCCCAAUAAGGACACUAAUGGGAUACGUGGACCCGAAUGGGAAUAUUGGGGAUAUCAAUGGGAUUUUGGGAUCCUAAUAGGGAUCCUAACAGGAUAUGGGGACCUUAAUAGGAUAUGGGGACCCCAAUAGGGACCCUAAUGGGUUAUAGGGUCCCCUAUGGGAUUUGGGGACCCCAAUAGGGACACUAAUAGGAUAC
rnacentral:lncRNA from 1 species